CAACGGAUCUCUUGGUUCCGGCAUCGAUGAAGAACGCAGCGAAAUGCGAUACGUAAUGUGAAUUGCAAAUUCAGUGAAUCAUCGAGUCUUUGAACGCACAUUGCGCCCCCUGGUAUUCCGGGGGGCAUGCCUGUCCGAGCGUCAUUGCUGCCCUCA
rnacentral:rRNA from 1 species